rnacentral:rRNA from 1 species
UACGUAGGGCGCAAGCGUUAUCCGGAAUUAUUGGGCGUAAAGAGCUCGUAGGCGGUUUGUCGCGUCUGCUGUGAAAGACCGGGGCUCAACUCCGGUUCUGCAGUGGGUACGGGCAGACUAGAGUGCAGUAGGGGAGACUGGAAUUCCUGGUGUAGCGGUGAAAUGCGCAGAUAUCAGGAGGAACACCGAUGGCGAAGGCAGGUCUCUGGGCAGUAACUGACGCUGAGGAGCGAAAGCGUGGGGAGCGAACAGG